rnacentral:rRNA from 1 species
UAAUACGUGCCAGUAGAACGCUUUUUAGAGGAGCUUGCUCUUCUUGGAUGAGUUGCGAACGGGUGAGUAACGCGUAGGUAACCUGCCUUGUAGCGGGGGAUAACUAUUGGAAACGAUAGCUAAUACCGCAUAACAAUGGAUGACUCAUGUCAUUUAUUUGAAAGGGGCAAAUGCUCCACUACAAGAUGGACCUGCGUUGUAUUAGCUAGUAGGUGAGGUAACGGCUCACCUAGGCGACGAUACAUAGCCGACCUGAGAGGGUGAUCGACCACACUGGGACUGAGACACGGCCCAGACUCCUACGGGAGGCAGCAGUAGGGAAUCUUCGGCAAUGGGGGCAACCCUGACCGAGCAACGCCGCGUGAGUGAAGAAGGUUUUCGGAUCGUAAAGCUCUGUUGUAAGUCAAGAACGAGUGUGAGAGUGGAAAGUUCACACUGUGACGGUAGCUUACCAGAAAGGGACGGCUAACUACGUGCCAGCAGCUGCGGUAAUACGUAGGUCCCGAGCGUUGUCCGGAUUUAUUGGGCGUAAAGCGAGCGCAGGCGGUUUGAUAAGUCUGAAGUUAAAGGCUGUGGCUCAACCAUAGUUCGCUUUGGAAACUGUCAAACUUGAGUGCAGAAGGGGAGAGUGGAAUUCCAUGUGUAGCGGUGAAAUGCGUAGAUAUAUGGAGGAACACCGGUGGCGAAAGCGGCUCUCUGGUCUGUAACUGACGCUGAGGCUCGAAAGCGUGGGGAGCGAACAGGAUUAGAUACCCUGGUAGUCCACGCCGUAAACGAUGAGUGCUAGGUGUUGGAUCCUUUCCGGGAUUCAGUGCCGCAG